rnacentral:lncRNA from 1 species
CCGAGUCCUUCUGAGGCACGAGUUUCCGCCUCCGGGGUUUUGUGGCCCUCCGAAUGCCUGAGCUUCGGUGAAGAACUGGCAUCCAGAAACAGAGGAACAGUCAAGCCACAAAAUAGAGUUCCCAUCCUUCCAUGGUCAUGGUAAGCAGGAGCUAAUGGGGUUGGAGGGGGCACUGACUAUGGAGAGGGC